GUCGAGGCAGGCGGAAGCGGCAAAGCAGACGCUCUGAUGCCGCUGUUAAUGUCGCCCUCAGGUCAUAAAAAUCGACCCACCUAGCCUACUUACGAGUUUGAUAGCGACGUAAGUGCGACAGUUAUUCUGACAGAGACGAAAACGGCAGCGCGACGAAAGAAACACCUCAGCUAACUCGCUAGCACCCUGAGGCGUUCUGUCAGACGGCGGCAGUGAUUGGCGCGCUCACACACUCCCGGGCGAUGACGUAAGCAGCCAAAAAUAAGCGCCGUAUAAAACGAAGAGGCGAGAUGACCGCAGUCGAGCUUGUACAGGCAACCAGGAGCUGUGUGUGGUAUAUAGUUGUUGGCGUGGCUGAAGGGUGAAGCAUUUUUUAAACAGUGCUCAAUGUGUGGGGCAGAAGGAUAAUAAUGACAAGAUGAAAGGCAAAAAUGUUUGAAUCCUUUGAAAAGAGGUAAGGUAAAGGAGAAGGCAUGUUUAGCAAAUGUGCCGUCGGCACGAAACAAGGGGUUAUACCGAAACAGUAUAACGGUCUCUCUCUGGUAAACACACACUCUGAGUCACCCCUAAAAAUAACGGGUUUGUCCCGCAGUACGUCCCUCCCUAGGAGCUUCAGACCUAUCCUCUUCAGCUCAAGCUCCUCACCGCUGCCCUAUUUUGCACACCCCCACAUCUUCGCGUGAACAGACUGUAUUGUCUCAUUUCUCUCCCUUUUCUAGAAUCUUCCAGGAGAUCAAUCCGUCACAGCUCAUUAGCGAACAUGCAUCAGACUAAACCCCCCCUCUUCCCCACCCCCUACCCCGUCUCUGAGGUAACGAGGCUGAUGUCAACCCCGGUUCGUUUUCAGCAGCACCUGACUAAAGCAAAAUAAUCUUGCCCAAUAAACCAACUGGAACCCUGGCUAGCUCUCUUGGCCUCCACCUCAUGCCUCGGUGUCCAGUCUGUGUCAUUAAGGUGUGAGAACGGCAUCAGUAUUACACGCUCGCUCACACCGGCCCCGAGGCAGCGGGCGGCUAAUUGCAUGAGCUGCGCCAGCACAGAUGAGGAGCGAUUUGGCGGUGAUGGGGCAUGUUAAUAAACGCAGGCUGGAGGUGGGAGAGAGAAUCGAUGAGCUUUAAGUGUGGGGGAGAGGGAGAGACCUGCCUCCUACAGCCAGAAAACAGUCCCCAAUGGAGACUGAUGGAGUUCUGCACAUGGGCACAUGCAAAUAUUGUUUUCUCCAGCCAGGGUGAAAGAGCUUACAGGCAGUGGGGGAGGUCUAUGCACAUAUUUUUGCGUGUGGUAGGGGUAAGAAGAGAAAGAGUGGAUGUAUAUUGUUUGUGUGUGUGCCCAAUUGUAGGGUUAUUAUUCUCUGUCAGAUGUGGGUUGUCAGCUGGGCAAAGACAUGAAACAAAAGAGAACAGAAGGAAAACACAGUAUGAAGGUGGAUUUAUAAGCCCAAUAAACAAGAUAGACUGGUUGAAGAAAUCUCAGAGUCUAUGUAUGUAGGCUAUUCAUUUACAUAUCCAGCGGUAUGUUCUUGUUUUUGUAUGUAGAGUAUAUUCCCUAUGUGCUGAGAAAGGGAACUAAGGAGGCAUUAUGGACAGGCCUACAUGGGAGAAUGGAUGCUUUAGAGGAAAUUAAUGCAUUUGAACUGAGGGACCGCCAGCUGAAGCAAAUACUUACACACGCGCACACAAACACUUCCCUGUCAUCACCUAUUCCUUAUGCAGAGAGCAGGGUGAGAGAAUUUUAAUGGAGGUCUCAGUGCAGCUCUCUGAAGUGCUGCCUAUGCUCACGAAAGAGAUCAAAACCAAGCAAGAACAGGACUGAGGCAGAACGGAAGGUUUGAAUGACACCAGCUGAAAAGAUGUUCUUUCUCUCCUUUCAAUUGUAGACAGUGUGUAUCUCAUGCACCAGUCCUUUCUUUCACCCCGUAUGCAUGCAAAUCAGGCAUCUGAUGCAAAUGGGGGGUUGUGCGCUGUUUGUAUCAGGCUCCAAUCAGUAAUUCUUGACACGGGUUGGUGUGCACCUGACUCCGCAGGCUUAUGGAGAUCGUGCUGCACCUCCACAGCAGGUGUUGUAUACUACUCUCUUCAAACCACUGGCACUCUCAGUUAUGGCUGGGACUGGCCAACGGCAUGUUUGGUGAGCCGAUCAGAGGCAGAACCGCGUUACAGCCCUGAACUCUCUCAUGCGCCGUUGAGCCGCUUUCUUCCCUCACGCCUGCGUGUGCCUUCUGCUCUGAGACUUAGCGGGGCGACAGCAUCAUUUGCUUUCACGGUUCAGAGCCACAAAGCACCCCUUCCACACCACCUCCCUCUGUUUAUUCUUUUUCCCUGCUCUCUUUUCUUCCUCCUCCAUUUCUUGUCUUUUUCUUCUCUCACACUCGUUUCCUUCUCUCUCUCUGUCUUUCGUCUCAUGCUGUCUCUUGUGCAAGGGGGA
ensembl:lncRNA